rnacentral:rRNA from 1 species
GGUUAAGCGACUAAGCGUACACGGUGGAUGCCCUGGCAGUCAGAGGCGAUGAAGGACGUGCUAAUCUGCGAAAAGCGUCGGUAAGGUGAUAUGAACCGUUAUAACCGGCGAUGUCCGAAUGGGGAAACCCAGUGUGUUUCGACACACUAUCAUUAACUGAAUCCAUAGGUUAAUGAGGCGAACCGGGGGAACUGAAACAUCUAAGUACCCCGAGGAAAAGAAAUCAACCGAGAUUCCCCCAGUAGCGGCGAGCGAACGGGGAGGAGCCCAGAGCCUGAAUCAGUGUGUGUGUUAGUGGAAGCGUCUGGAAAGGCGCGCGAUACAGGGUGACAGCCCCGUACACAAAAAUGCACAUGCUGUGAGCUCGAUGAGUAGGGCGGGACACGUGGUAUCCUGUCUGAAUAUGGGGGGACCAUCCUCCAAGGCUAAAUACUCCUGACUGACCGAUAGUGAACCAGUACCGUGAGGGAAAGGCGAAAAGAACCCCGGCGAGGGGAGUGAAAAAGAACCUGAAACCGUGUACGUACAAGCAGUGGGAGCCCUGAUUUAUCAGGGUGACUGCGUACCUUUUGUAUAAUGGGUCAGCGACUUAUAUUCUGUAGCAAGGUUAACCGAAUAGGGGAGCCGGAGGGAAACCGAGUCUUAACUGGGCGUUAAGUUGCAGGGUAUAGACCCGAAACCCGGUGAUCUAGCCAUGGGCAGGUUGAAGGUUGGGUAACACUAACUGGAGGACCGAACCGACUAAUGUUGAAAAAUUAGCGGAUGACUUGUGGCUGGGGGUGAAAGGCCAAUCAAACCGGGAGAUAGCUGGUUCUCCCCGAAAGCUAUUUAGGUAGCGCCUCGUGAAUUCAUCUCCGGGGGUAGAGCACUGUUUCGGCAAGGGGGUCAUCCCGACUUACCAACCCGAUGCAAACUGCGAAUACCGGAGAAUGUUAUCACGGGAGACACACGGCGGGUGCUAACGUCCGUCGUGAAGAGGGAAACAACCCAGACCGCCAGCUAAGGUCCCAAAGUCAUGGUUAAGUGGGAAACGAUGUGGGAAGGCCCAGACAGCCAGGAUGUUGGCUUAGAAGCAGCCAUCAUUUAAAGAAAGCGUAAUAGCUCACUGGUCGAGUCGGCCUGCGCGGAAGAUGUAACGGGGCUAAACCAUGCACCGAAGCUGCGGCAGCGACGCUGAUGCGUUGUUGGGUAGGGGAGCGUUCUGUAAGCCUGUGAAGGUGUGCUGUGAGGCAUGCUGGAGGUAUCAGAAGUGCGAAUGCUGACAUAAGUAACGAUAAAGCGGGUGAAAAGCCCGCUCGCCGGAAGACCAAGGGUUCCUGUCCAACGUUAAUCGGGGCAGGGUGAGUCGACCCCUAAGGCGAGGCCGAAAGGCGUAGUCGAUGGGAAACAGGUUAAUAUUCCUGUACUUGGUGUUACUGCGAAGGGGGGACGGAGAAGGCUAUGUUGGCCGGGCGACGGUUGUCCCGGUUUAAGCGUGUAGGCUGGUUUUCCAGGCAAAUCCGGAGAAUCAAGGCUGAGGCGUGAUGACGAGGCACUACGGUGCUGAAGCAACAAAUGCCCUGCUUCCAGGAAAAGCCUCUAAGCAUCAGGUAACAUCAAAUCGUACCCCAAACCGACACAGGUGGUCAGGUAGAGAAUACCAAGGCGCUUGAGAGAACUCGGGUGAAGGAACUAGGCAAAAUGGUGCCGUAACUUCGGGAGAAGGCACGCUGAUGGUAGGUGAAGCGACUUGCUCGUGGAGCUGAAAUCAGUCGAAGAUACCAGCUGGCUGCAACUGUUUAUUAAAAACACAGCACUGUGCAAACACGAAAGUGGACGUAUACGGUGUGACGCCUGCCCGGUGCCGGAAGGUUAAUUGAUGGGGUCAGCGCAAGCGAAGCUCUUGAUCGAAGCCCCGGUAAACGGCGGCCGUAACUAUAACGGUCCUAAGGUAGCGAAAUUCCUUGUCGGGUAAGUUCCGACCUGCACGAAUGGCGUAAUGAUGGCCAGGCUGUCUCCACCCGAGACUCAGUGAAAUUGAACUCGCUGUGAAGAUGCAGUGUACCCGCGGCAAGACGGAAAGACCCCGUGAACCUUUACUAUAGCUUGACACUGAACACUGGUCCUUGAUGUGUAGGAUAGGUGGGAGGCUUUGAAGUGUGGACGCCAGUCUGCAUGGAGCCGUCCUUGAAAUACCACCCUUUAAUGGCUGGUGUUCUAACGUUGGCCCCUUAUCGGGGUUGCGGACAGUGUCUGGUGGGUAGUUUGACUGGGGCGGUCUCCUCCUAAAGAGUAACGGAGGAGCACGAAGGUUGGCUAAUCCUGGUCGGACAUCAGGAGGUUAGUGCAAUGGCAUAAGCCAGCUUGACUGCGAGCGUGACGGCGCGAGCAGGUGCGAAAGCAGGUCAUAGUGAUCCGGUGGUUCUGAAUGGAAGGGCCAUCGCUCAACGGAUAAAAGGUACUCCGGGGAUAACAGGCUGAUACCGCCCAAGAGUUCAUAUCGACGGCGGUGUUUGGCACCUCGAUGUCGGCUCAUCACAUCCUGGGGCUGAAGUAGGUCCCAAGGGUAUGGCUGUUCGCCAUUUAAAGUGGUACGCGAGCUGGGUUUAGAACGUCGUGAGACAGUUCGGUCCCUAUCUGCCGUGGGCGCUGGAGAACUGAGGGGGGCUGCUCCUAGUACGAGAGGACCGGAGUGGACGCAUCACUGGUGUUCGGGUUGUCAUGCCAAUGGCACUGCCCGGUAGCUAAAUGCGGAAGAGAUAAGUGCUGAAAGCAUCUAAGCACGAAACUUGCCCCGAGAUGAGUUCUCCCUGAGACUUAGAGUCUCCUGAAGGAACGUUGAAGACGACGACGUUGAUAGGCCGGGUGUGUAAGCGCAGCGAUGCGUUGAGCUAACCGGUACUAAUGAACCGUGAGG